rnacentral:rRNA from 1 species
CCUACGGGUGGCAGCAGUGAGGAAUAUUGGUAAAUGGGCGUAAGCCUGAACCAGCCAAGUCGCGUGAGGGAUGAAGGUUCGAUGGAUCGUAAACCUCUUUUAUAAGGGAAGAAAGUGGGGGACGUGUCCGGUUUUGGAUGUACCUUAUGAAUAAGGAUCGGCUAACUCCGGGCCAGCAGCCGCGGUAAUACGGAGGAUCCGAGCGUUAUCCGGAUUUAUGGGGGUUAAAGGGUGCGUAGGAGGCCUUUUAAGUCAGCGGUGCAAGUCUGUGGCUCAACCAUAGAAGUGCCGUUGAAACUGGGAGGCUUGAGUAUGUUUGAGGCAGGCGGCAUGCGUGGUGUAGCGG